GACAGAGGGUGCAAACGUUGUUCGGAAUUACUGGGCGUAAAGCGCGUGUAGGCGGUUUCGCAAGUCAGAUGUGAAAGCCCUCGGCUCAACCGGGGAAGUGCAUUUGAAACUGCGAGACUAGAGUCCCGGAGAGGAUGGUGGAAUUCUCGGUGUAGAGGUGAAAUUCGUAGAUAUCGAGAGGAACACCGGUGGCGAAGGCGGCCAUCUGGACGGUGACUGACGCUGAGACGCGAAAGCGUGGGGAGCAAACAGG
rnacentral:rRNA from 1 species